rnacentral:rRNA from 1 species
UACAGAGGGUGCGAGCGUUAAUCGGAAUUACUGGGCGUAAAGCGUGCGUAGACGGUUUUGUAGGUCGGAUGUGAAAUCCCCGGGCUCAACCUGGGAAUUGCAUUCGAGACUGCAAGGCUUGGGUGCGGAAGAGGGAAGCGGAAUUUCCGGUGUAGCGGUGAAAUGCGUAGAUAUCGGAAGGAACAUCAGUGGCGAAAGCGGCUUCCUGGUCCAGCACCGACGUUCAGGCACGAAAGCGUGGGGAGCAAACAGG